UACAGGAUUAGAUACCCCAUUAAUUUAUUUUUUAUUUUUGUCUUAGUUUUUUAACUAAAAUGGUUUGGCAGCAAGUGAAUCCAUUCAGGGGAAGGUGUUUAGUAAAGGAUGGUCCGCCUAUUAAUUUACUCUUUUUAUGUUGGUGUAUAUCUGGUUUAAUAUUAUUGUUUAAUGAUUUUAAUUUGUGUAUUUUUAUUUAAGCUAAGUCUAUGUGCUGUUUAUUGGAGUUUAAAUGCGUUACAUUUAUAUGUUAACAUUUGUAAUUGUGUUAUUUUUAGGACUUGAUAGUAAUACCUUAUUAGUUUGUUGGUGUGAAUGUGGUUUAGCUUGGGUACACACCGC
rnacentral:rRNA from 1 species